rnacentral:rRNA from 1 species
CGCGUGUACUGGUCCGGCCGGGCCUUUCCUUCUGGAGAUCCCCAUGCCCUUCACUGGGUGUGUGGGGGAACCAGGACUUUUACUUUGAAAAAAUUAGAGUGUUCAAAGCAGGCCUUUGCUCGAAUACGUUAGCAUGGAAUAAUAGAAUAGGACGUGCGGUCCUAUUUUGUUGGUUUCUAGGACCGCUGUAAUGAUUAAUAGGGAUAGUCGGGGGCAUCAGUAUUCAAUUGUCAGAGGUGAAAUUCUUGGAUUUAUUGAAGACUAACUACUGCGAAAGCAUUUGCCAAGGAUGUUUUCAUUAAUCAGUGAACGAAAGUUAGGGGAUCGAAGACGAUCAGAUACCGUCGUAGUCUUAACCGUAAACUAUGCCGACUAGGGAUCGGGCGAUGUUUCUUUCUUGACUCGCUCGGCACCUUACGAGAAAUCAAAGUUUUUGGGUUCUGGGGGGAGUAUGGUCGCAAGGCUGAAACUUAAAGAAAUUGACAGAAGGGCACCACCAGGCGUGGAGCCUGCGGCUUAAUUUGACUCAACACGGGGAAACUCACCAGGUCCAGAUGAAAUAAGGAUUGACAGAUUGAGAGCUCUUUCUUGAUUUUUCAGGUGGUGGUGCAUGGCCGUUCUUAGUUGGUGGAGUGAUUUGUCUGCUUAAUUGCGAUAACGAACGAGACCUUAACCUGCUAAAUAGCCAGGCUAGCUUUGGCUGGUCGCCGGCUUCUUAGAGGGACUAUCGG